UACAGAGGCCUCGAGCGUUAGGCGGAAUCACUGGGCUUAAAGCGUGUGUAGGUGGAUGCCUAAGUACCUUGUGAAAUCCCACGGCUUAACCGUGGAACUGCUGGGUAUACUGGGUGUCUUGAGCCACUCAGGGGCUACCGGAACAAAGCGGUGGAGCGGUGAAAUGCGUAGAUAUCGUUUGGAACGCCAAUGGUGAAAACAGGUAGCUGGGGGUGUGCUGACACUGAGACACGAAAGCCAGGGGAGCAAACGGG
rnacentral:rRNA from 1 species